rnacentral:rRNA from 1 species
CACGUAGGGUGCGAGCGUUGUCCGGAAUUAUUGGGCGUAAAGAGCUCGUAGGCGGUGUGUCGCGUCGGCCGUGAAAACCUGGGGGCUUAACUCUGGGCUUGCGGUCGAUACGGGCAUCACUGGAGUUCGGUAGGGGAGACUGGAAUUCCUGGUGUAGCGGUGAAAUGCGCAGAUAUCAGGAGGAACACCGGUGGCGAAGGCGGGUCUCUGGGCCGAUACUGACGCUGAGGAGCGAAAGCGUGGGGAGCGAACAGG